UCGGACGUAGUGCACGGUGCACGCCCGUUCUUUAUGUCUUUAUCUCGUGAUGCGGGAAGCCUGGGUUCGAUCCCCAGCGUCCGAA